CACCGCGGUUAUACGAGAGGCCCAAGUUGACAAACGCCGGCGUAAAAUGUGGCUAUAUACAGUAUUGCACUAAAGCUAAACAUCUUCAAAGCUGUUAUACGCACCCGAAGACAGGAGGCCCCUCCACGAAAGUGGCUUUAAACAACAUUAGCCCACGAAAGCUAGGGAACAAACUGGGAUUAGAUACCCCACUAUGCCUAGCCUUAAACAAAAGCAACCACCUACACCUUUUGCUUGCCAGGGAACUACAAGCCCCAGCUUAAAACCCAAAGGACUUGGCGGUGCUUUAGACCCACCUAGAGGAGCCUGUUCUAGAACCGAUAACCCCCGUUAAACCUCACCCUCUCUUGUUCUCCCCGCCUAUAUACCGCCGUCGUCAGCUUACCCUGUGAAGGGCACAUAGUAAGCAUAAUUGGUACAACCUAAAACGUCAGGUCGAGGUGUAGCGUACGAGGGGGGAAGAAAUGGGCUACAUUUACUGGACCAGUAAACACGGAUAAUGCCUUGAAACAGACAUUUAAAGGAGGAUUUAGCAGUAAGAGGAGAAUAGAGCGCCCCUCUGAAACUGGCCCUGAAGCGCGCACACACCGCCCGUCACUCUCCCCCACAAUAUAAUAAUAAACAUAUAACUAAAGAAUAACUUCAAUAAAGGGGAGGCAAGUCGUAACAUGGUAAGUGUACCGGAAGGUGCACUUGGAAAAACCAGAGCGUAGCUUAA
rnacentral:rRNA from 1 species